UCAACAGUUCAGUCAGCAGAGCAUGAGCCUCUUAAUCUCAUGGUCGUGGGUUUGAGCCCCGCACUGGCAAAG